UGAGGAAUAUUGGUCAAUGGACGAGAGUCUGAACCAGCCAAGUAGCGUGAAGGAUGACUGCCCUAUGGGUUGUAAACUUCUUUUAUACGGGAAUAAAGUUCAGCACGUGUGCUGUUUUGUAUGUACCGUAUGAAUAAGGAUCGGCUAACUCCGUGCCAGCAGCCGCGGUAAUACGGAGGAUCCGAGCGUUAUCCGGAUUUAUUGGGUUUAAAGGGAGCGUAGGCGGAUGCUUAAGUCAGUUGUGAAAGUUUGCGGCUCAACCGUAAAAUUGCAGUUGAUACUGGGUGUCUUGAGUACAGUAGAGGUAGGCGGAAUUCGUGGUGUAGCGGUGAAAUGCUUAGAUAUCACGAAGAACUCCGAUUGCGAAGGCAGCGUACCGGCGCCCAACUGACGCUGAAGCACGAAGGCGUGGGGUAUCGAACAGGAUUAGAUACC
rnacentral:rRNA from 1 species